UAAUACAGGCACAGGCAUUCUACAUUGAAGCAAAAAUAUCCUUGCCAAAUAGCCUCAAGUCUUUACGUGUUUUGAAUUGUUCAAGUCGUGGACAAGAAGUACGCAAGACAACCAAGAGAAAAAUUCACCGCAUGAAUUGUAAUAAGCAGAGUGUCGAUUUGAUGUAAAUCUCAAAGAUGCCUCUGGCUCAACAACUGGGAUGAUUAUGGACAAAGAAGGAGAAAAACUAUUAUCUCUUACUGCAGCAGAGAUUUACGAAAGAGUUUCAGCUGAGAAUGAGAACCUGCCUCUGGAAGAUUUCCAAAGCAAAUUUGACCAGAAGCUGUUCAGAAUUCAAGUGAAGAAGCCAUUUGGCCGUGCUUCAUCCACAUCAUCUUCAAAAUUGUAUAUCCAGUCAUGCAUUGAAAAGGAAAGCAUUAUUCAUUCUCUCCCAGCACCAGCUACAGCAUCAAUCAAUAUCAGCGAAAGCAGUAAAAGGAAAAAAGAACAUGUAUCUUCCCAUGAUACAAAAACAAAGCUGCCAACCGAACAAGGUGAAUCAGUCAAGAUGAAACAGAAACUGGAGUGAACAACUCCUGUGAAAAGGAAAUGAAGUUAACCAACUAAUUUUGCAACCACUUUUGCCUUUCAUGGAACAAAGUUGUUUUGCAGGAAA